rnacentral:rRNA from 1 species
GGAGGGUGCAAACGUUGCUCGGAAUUAUUGGGCGUAAAGCGCGUGUAGGCGGUCUGUUUAGUCGAGUGUGAAAGCCCUGGGCUUAACCCAGGAAGUGCGCUCGAUACUGGCAGACUGGAGUACGGGAGAGGAUAGCGGAAUUCCCGGUGUAGAGGUGAAAUUCGUAGAUAUCGGGAGGAACACCAGUGGCGAAGGCGGCUAUCUGGACCGAUACUGACGCUGAGACGCGAAAGCGUGGGUAGCAAACAGAUUAGAUACCCUGGUAGUCCACGCCGUAAACGAUGAGUGCUAGGUGUCGCGGGUAUUGACCCCCGCGGUGCCGCAGCUAACGCAUUAAGCACUCCGCCUGGGGAGUACGGCCGCAAGGCUA